CUCCGAAAGGGGUGCUAAUACCGGAUCGAAGUCUGUGCCGCAUGGUACGGAUUUGAAAGAUGGCCUCUAGUUUAUAAGCUAUCGCCGGGGGAUGGGCCUGCGUCCGAUUAGCUGGUUGGUGGGUAACGGCCUACCAAGGCGACGAUCGGUAGCCGGUCUGAGAGGAUGAACGGCCACAUUGGGACUGAGACACGGCCCAGACUCCUACGGGAGGCAGCAGUGGGGAAUCUUCCGCAAUGGGCGCAAGCCUGACGGAGCAACGCCGCGUGAGUGAGGAAGUUCUUCGGAACGUAAAGCUCUGUUGUUCCUGACGAACCUCCCCUCUAUCAACAACGGAGGGGACUGACGGUAGGGAACGAGGAAGCCACGGCUAACUACGUGCCAGCCGCGGC
rnacentral:rRNA from 1 species